rnacentral:rRNA from 1 species
GGAGGAAAGCAGGGGAUCGCAAGACCUUGCGCUUUUGGAGCGGCCGAUGUCUGAUUAGCUAGUUGGUAGGGUGAAGGCUUACCAAGGCAACGAUCAGUAGUUGGUCUGAGAGGACGACCAGCCACACUGGGACUGAGACACGGCCCAGACUCCUACGGGAGGCAGCAGUGGGGAAUUUUGGACAAUGGGCGAAAGCCUGAUCCAGCCAUGCCGCGUGAGUGAAGAAGGCCUUCGGGUUGUAAAGCUCUUUCAGUCGAGAAGAAAAAAUUGCGACUAAUAAUCGCAAUUCAUGACGGUAUCGACAGAAGAAGCACCGGCUAACUACGUGCCAGCAGCCGCGGUAAUACGUAGGGUGCAAGCGUUAAUCGGAAUUACUGGGCGUAAAGGGUGCGCAGGCGGCCUUGUAAGUCAGAUGUGAAAUCCCCGGGCUUAACCUGGGAAUUGCGUUUGAAACUACAAAGCUAGA